rnacentral:rRNA from 1 species
GAUGAACGCUGGCGGCGUGCUUAACACAUGCAAGUCGAACGAUGAAGCCCAGCUUGCUGGGUGGAUUAGUGGCGAACGGGUGAGUAACACGUGAGUAACCUGCCCUUGACUCUGGGAUAAGCCUGGGAAACUGGGUCUAAUACUGGAUAUGACUUCUCAUCGCAUGGUGGGGGGUGGAAAGAUUUAUUGGUCUUGGAUGGACUCGCGGCCUAUCAGCUUGUUGGUGAGGUAGUGGCUCACCAAGGCGACGACGGGUAGCCGGCCUGAGAGGGUGACCGGCCACACUGGGACUGAGGCACGGCCCAGACUCCUACGGGAGGCAGCAGUGGGGAAUAUUGCACAAUGGGCGCAAGCCUGAUGCAGCGACGCCGCGUGAGGGAUGACGGCCUUCGGGUUGUAAACCUCUUUCAGUAGGGAAGAAGCGAGAGUGACGGUACCUGCAGAAGAAGCGCCGGCUAACUACGUG